AUUGAACGCUGGCGGCAGGCCUAACACAUGCAAGUCGAGCGAGCGGCGGACGGGUGAGUAAUGCCUAGGAAUCUACUCUGUCGUGGGGGAUAACGUAGGGAAACUUACGCUAAUACCGCAUACGAUUGAAUGAGCCGAUGUCGGAUUAGCUAGUUGGCGGGGUAAAGGCCCACAAAGGCGACGAUCCGUAGAUGGCCUGAGAGGAUGAUCAGCCACACUGGAACGGAGACACGGGCCAGACUCCUACGGGAGGCAGCAGUGGGGAAUAUUGGACAAUGGGCGCAAGCCUGAUCCAGCCAUACCGCGUGGGUGAAGAAGGCCUUGGGGUUGUAAAGCCCUUUUGUUGGGAAAGCGGUACCCAAAGAAUAAGCACCGGCUAACUUCGUGCCAGCCGCCGCGGUAAUAC
rnacentral:rRNA from 1 species